AUUGAACGCUGGCGGCAUGCCUUACACAUGCAAGUCGAACGGUAACGGGCCUUCGGGUGCCGACGAGUGGCGAACGGGUGAGUAAUAUAUCGGAACGUACCUUUCAGUGGGGGAUAACGUAGCGAAAGUUACGCUAAUACCGCAUAUUCUGUGCGCAGGAAAGCAGGGGACCUUCGGGCCUUGCGCUGAUUGAGCGGCCGAUAUCAGAUUAGCUAGUUGGUGAGGUAAAGGCUCACCAAGGCGACGAUCUGUAGCGGGUCUGAGAGGAUGAUCCGCCACACGGGAACUGAGACACGGUCCAGACUCCUACGGGAGGCAGCAGUGGGGAAUUUUGGACAAUGGGGGCAACCCUGAUCCAGCCAUGCCGCGUGAGUGAAGAAGGCCUUCGGGUUGUAAAGCUCUUUCGGCCGGGAAGAAAUCGUAUGGGCUAAUACCCUGUGCGGAUGACGGUACCGGCAUAAGAAGCACCGGCUAACUACGUGCCAGCCGCCGCGGUAAGAC
rnacentral:rRNA from 1 species